rnacentral:rRNA from 1 species
AGUCGACGGUGAUGGGGAGCUUGCUCCUCUGAUCAGUGGCGAACGGGUGAGUAACACGUGAGUAACCUGCCCUUCACUCUGGGAUAACGUCGGGAAACCGGUGCUAAUACUGGAUAUGACCUGCUCGGGCAUCCGAUGUGGGUGGAAAGAUUUAUUGGUGGAGGAUGGACUCGCGGCCUGUCAGCUUGUUGGUGAGGUAAUGGCUCACCAAGGCGACGACGGGUAGCCGGCCUGAGAGGGCGAUCGGCCACACUGGGACUGAGACACGGCCCAGACUCCUACGGGAGGCAGCAGUGGGGAAUAUUGCACAAUGGGCGAAAGCCUGAUGCAGCGACGCCGCGUGAGGGAUGAAGGCCUUCGGGUUGUAAACCUCUUUCAGCAGGGAAGAAGCGGCCGGGUUUUCUUGGUUGUGACGGUACCUGCAGAAGAAGCACCGGCUAACUACGUGCCAGCAGCCGCGGUAAUACGUAGGGUGCAAGCGUUGUCCGGAAUUAUUGGGCGUAAAGAGCUUGUAGGUGGUUUGUCGCGUCUGUUGUGAAAUUUCGGGGCUCAACCCCGAACUUGCAGUGGAUACGGGCAGACUAGAGUGUGGUAGGGGAGACUGGAAUUCCUGGUGUAGCGGUGAAAUGCGCAGAUAUCAGGAGGAACACCGAUGGCGAAGGCAGGUCUCUGGGCCAUUACUGACACUGAGAAGCGAAAGCAUGGGGAGCGAACAGGAUUAGAUACCCUGGUAGAAUCACUAGUGAAUUC